ensembl:lncRNA
UUUACAGCAGGGUGAGGACAGAGUGUUGACCAAUUUCAUUUGGUAGAGGGAAAAAGGUGAAAAGGAGACUGUAUCACACCAGGGCAACCUGCACGAAGAUGCCAAACCAUCUAAUCUAAACAACUUAGAUUUGGAAAGCAACCGUGCAGCCAACCGAUCCAUGUGGCCACCAAGGACCGAUGACGUGAUUCUGGCAUGCCUAAAGUUUGUUUUAGAAGCUGCCUGUCUUCAUUGGGGUAGGUUUUGUGCAAUUCUGUGUACAUGUGCAGUCAGGUCAAAAAAAUGAAGGAAGUGGUUGCAACAGAGUGAAGUAUGUAUCAUAAUGUUCAUUUACAUGAAGUUAAACGCGGCUCACGAUCCAGUCCAAAUGAGCACCAGGUGGCAGUAGUUACAACUGUCUGGGUUUUGGCAGAGAAAUUUCAUACAAAACUCUGUUGCCUGCUGAGACUCUGAUGUUGUGGAAAUUAGACAACACUCGCAGACUCGUCCUCUGAAGGUAAAAAGGUUUAUUACAGGAUAGAAUAAAGCAGGAUAGAAUAAUGAGAGCACUCUAAAGCACCUGUACUAAAUCACUACUACAUAUAUGAAAGGCAGAGCAUGACAUAAUUCUGUGCACCGAUAAGAAGCAGUUUGAGGCAGUUUAAACAGGCUUUGUUUUAGGGUCUUGGAAGAUGUUUAGACAAACCUUGAACAGAAGAACAUGUUUGUGUCUCUGUAAGCAGAUACACAUUCUGUACUGAUCUCAGUGACAUGACAUGGCCUUCCUAGGCGUUAUCCGCUGAUGAGAAUGAAAUAGAACAAGAACAAUCUUAUUACAAAGUAAAAAUGAGUAUUUUCCCUCACAUUUCCCCCAUUUUAUCAUUCCAAAAUAUGAUAACUAAAAUUAACAGAGAAAUUACAAUGCUGUGAAUACAUCAGAACUUCAGAAUCCUUUCACGGUUCAACUGAAUUCAUCAUAAAACAGAAAUAAUGACGGCGCUAAGGGUUGUUGUUUUUUUUGUAGAUAUAAAGUAUCCUGUCAUCAAGC